rnacentral:lncRNA from 1 species
AGAACUGCCUGCUUCUGUCUCUCAAUGGGAUUAAAAGUGUAGGCCAUCAUAUCUGCCUUUUUUUUUUUUUAACAAAGAUUGCUGAGCCUCUUCCCCAGAGAUUCCACGAACAGCAGACAGUGUUUAUGUAUUUAAUCCUUCAGCUAGUAUUUAUUAGAAACUUCUCUAACAAAGCACUAUUAGUAAACAGGCCCAGAUUAGGACAGGCCCUGCCAAUGCCUACAGACUAGCAGGGAAUACAGUAGCCAAAUGUCAUGUAAGUUCAAGAGUGCUAAGUGCUGUGAAGUCCAGUGACAAGGAACCCAGUCUAGUCAGAGAGAGAGGAACUCCGUGGUUUAUGAGACAGAAAGGGAACAGUCUCAUUCUCAGGGUGACUCGUGUAAUUAUAAUGACAAGUGACCUUCAGUAUCCCAAACUGGAGAAAGUAGAAAAGUAAUGUGGUGACAAAGACUCCCACCACGUUUAACUGGAUGAAACCCUGGACAUCCAGGCUAGGGGUAUAGCUCACUGUUAAGAUGCUUGCCUGGCGUGCAGAGCCCUGGGUGUGGUUCCAGAACACAGAACUGGGGUCCUUGAGACGAUAAGCAUGAGCUCUUUGUAGAUAAUCUUGGUGUUGCUUUUACUGGCCUUUUGUAUGAAGUGGGAAAGUAAAGUUGAAACAGUC